rnacentral:lncRNA from 1 species
AUGUUAAAUGCAAGGAUUCCGGAACGUCAAGCGGACACGCCGGAGGAGAUACACGCGGAAAAGGUGUGCUAUAAAGGUAUGGAUGAGUUCUCUUCCGGAUGGUGAUCAUUACGUUAUCAAGAACCGAACACGCAUUUUGAAGCUUCCGCACUAAACUUAACUUUGUCUAGACUUUAAUCACAUUGUAAAUAUUUUUGUUAAACUUGUUUGGAACCCUGUAACUAGUUGUAGUUGACUAGUAAGGGU